rnacentral:tRNA from 1 species
GCUCACGUAGCUUAAACUAAAGCAUAGCACUGAAGAUGCUAGGACGAACCCUAAAAAGUUCCGCGGGCA